AAUAAAUAUUGAGUAAACCAGUUCUUCCUCUGUUUUAAUUCCUUCUAAACUUUCCUAGGAAGUUGAAAUUCAAGACAUAAUUCUGAAAGAUUAAAUUGUUUUGGUGAUACCAAGAGUACCUUGUAGGUAUAAUCAAAGUAUCCUGCUUAUUUUAAUGAUCAGAAGCAACAGAACAUUCCCAUCACAAACGGAACAAUCACUUACUGCUGUAAGUAAUAUAAUACUGGAACUCAAUACGCAGAAGCAGUUUGCAUGCCACUCACCCACUCCCAUUCAACAAAGUGAUAUAUUUUCAAAUUUACUCUGUAAUGCAGUGUUACUCAUUAAUUUAAUCAGCUGCUAUUCUUCAUGGUUAUAAAUUCAAAACUAUACAGAAAUCAAUUCUGAAUGACAACCAGCUUUUCAC
rnacentral:lncRNA from 1 species